GUGAAUAUAGUUUAAGAAAAACCCUAGAUUGUGAUUCUAGAAACAAAGGUUGAACCCCUUUUAUUCACC
rnacentral:tRNA from 1 species